UCCCAGGUGGCUCAGUGGCUAAAGAAUCUGUCUGUAAUGCAGGAGAUGCAGGUUUGAUCCCUGGUUUGGGAA
rnacentral:tRNA from 1 species